AUGACGGUGGAGAGCGGCAUGGUCCUCCGGGGCCUCAUCGAGGCCGCCGGCGCGGCGGGGCUGUCGCUGCCGCACUCUCCCUACUGGCGCGGCCUCACCAUCGGCGGCCUCCUGGCGACGGCCGCGCACGGCAGCUUGCUGUGGGGCAAGGGGAGCGCCGUGCACGAGUACGUGGUCGGGAUGAGGAUCGUGACGCCGGCGCCCGCGAGCCAGGGGUUCGCCGUCGUGAGGGAGCUCGGCGCCGAUCACCCGGACCUGGACGCGGCCAAGGUCUCCCUCGGGGUCCUCGGCGUCGUGUCUCGGGUCACCCUGGCGAUGCAGCCGCUGUUCAAGCGUUCGGUGACGAUCGUGAAGCGCGGCGACGCCGACUUGCCGGCGCAGGUGGCCGCGUGGGGCCGCCUCCACGAGUUCGGCGACAUGACGUGGCUUCCGCAGGAGGGCCAGGUCCUUCCCACGCGCGGGCUCGUCGCCGCCAGAGCCGCCGAGGAGCGGCUGCAGGAGAACGGCACCGACGCCGCCCGGUGCGCGGCGGUGCGUACCGACCUGGUGGCCGCCGAGCAGCAGGGGUACGGCUACACUAACGACGGCGUUUCGUUCACGGGGUACCCGGUGGUGGGGUACCAGCACCGCAUCCAGACGUUCGGGUCGUGCAUCGACAGCCCGGAGGACGGCCUUCGGUCCGCCUGCGCGUGGGACCCGCGCGUCCGAGGCCCCUUCUACUACAACUCAGCCUUCAGCGUCGCGCUCUCCAGGGCGCCGGCGUUCGUCGCCGACAUGCAGCGGCUCCGGGACCUCGACCCGGGCGCGUUCUGCGCCGGCCUCGACGUCAGGGUGGGCGUGCUCAUCCGCUACAUCAAGGCCUCCUCGGCCUGCCUCGGCAAGGCGGAGGACUCGGUCGACUUCGACCUGGUCUACUACCGGAGCCGCACCGCCGGCGGCAAGCCGCGCGCGCAUGCCGACGCGGCGGACGAGAUCGAGCAGAUGGCGCUGCGCAAGUACGGUGGCCUCCCGCACUGGGGCAAGAACCGCAACUCCGCCUUCGACGGCGCCAUCGCCAGGUACCCGAAGGCCGGCGAGUUCCUCAGGGUGAAGGAGAAGUACGACCCCGACGGCCUGUUCUCCAGCGAGUGGAGCGACCAGGUGCUCAGCGUCAAUGGUGGGAGCCCCAGCAUCGUCGGGACGCGUUGCGCCAUCGAAGGGCUCUGCGUCUGCUCCGACGACUCACACUGCGCGCCGGAACAGGGGUACUUGUGCCGGCCUGGGAAGGGGUACACGGAGGCCAGAGUUUGCUCCGUUUUACGCGCACAAUGA
rnacentral:rRNA from 1 species